rnacentral:misc_RNA from 1 species
AACACAAAUUGUACUUUCCAGUAUUCUGGGAAGUAUGCUUGGUUGAGGGUCAUUAAAUAACAUUCGUGAAUUUUUUUGCGGAUUUGAGUUUUCCAGUAUUUAUAAAAAUGUUGGUAACUUUAAAAUUAUUAUUACUUGGUACAAGUUGAAGACGUUCUAUAUGUGUGGUUCGCUGACAACUUGACCAUCAUCAUAUAUUAUGCGCGCACUUGGUUUUUAUGCUCUGUGCGAGUAUAUAUUUUUUUUAUGACCUCAGCUCAAGUAAGAAUACCCGCUGAACUUAA